rnacentral:snRNA from 1 species
AUACUCUGGUUUCUCUUCAGCUCAUAUAAAUAUUUUGUUUUUUACUAAAGAUUUCCAUGGAGAGGAAGUUUUAUGAGUUUUUAACUAAUUUUUUGAGGCUCUGUUUCUGCAGAAAA